AGAAUUUUCGAAGCCGGCCUUCCGAGCGAGAGCUCAUCUGCUCGAGAGCCACUUUUUACGGUCUAAUAAAAACCCGGGACAAAUUACUGCGUUCGAGUUUUAUUGAUUAUCGAGCAGACGAAAUCCGGAUUCGGCCCGUUCGACGAAAGGACCAAAACGAAAGCGCAUGUACCGUACAAGAACGAGAUCGCGACUCAGCUUCGUCUUCGUAAAAUUAUCCUUGCGGAGGUACACGGGGCUGAAAUAAUGCCGGCGCGAACUGUUUACUACGUUACGUGGGCGUGAUUAAGGCUCGUGGCAAACGAACCGUUCAUUUUCACCGUCCGUCCACGACUUUUUUCUUUUCUUUCGACAUCUCCGCACCUUUCCGGUGUAUGUGCAUCAGUUACUCGCAGGAAGGAGGCCGCAGGAAGAGACGCGCGGUGGCCAUCAACGCUCCGACCAGGGAUAUCGCAACGACAAUCGAACGUCUGUCACGGGACAAUGGCCAGGACUACGCCCAGCAAUCAGUUUCGCCGGUUCACCGGCGUGACAUGAACUCUUUGUACAUACGUACACAUCCGUAUAUACAUACUGUCCGCGCGUGGACUCCAGAUAUCAACCUGAAGGGUUUGGUGGCUACGCAGUCAACAGUAGCGUACAACACGUGUUGCGCCUUCACGACAUACCAACAUCUAUGCAACAUUGCAGAAAGGGCAUCCGGUGCACCAACUUCGCGUUAGUUCGCGCUCGUGCCACGAGUCCAUGACAUCGGGACACACCCACGAAGGAAAUACGCCGCAUCCUUUUCUCGCAGCGAGCUUCCUUCAUGGAAGUCGACUGACCAUGGGGUCAUGCGGUCUGUACUCCGAGGAUCUUAAUCAAGCUGUUCGUGCCUUUUCCUUUAUUCGCAGGCAAAUGAUAAUUGUAGUUCUAUGCGACAAUUGAUACGUCGAUUUAUCAAUAUGCUGACACUUUGACAAAUAUGACAUGGUUCACGUGCAAUAUAAAUAUUGCCUGUAUUGUAUAUUAAGAAUAUAGAGAAAGCAGGGAAA